rnacentral:sRNA from 1 species
AAAUAUAGUGGUAUGUCGUUGUAUAUGUGUGUGUGUGAUGGG